UACAGAGACUGCAAGCGUUAUUCGGAUUCACUGGGCGUAAAGGGUGCGCAGGCGGCCAAGUGUGUGAGGCGUGAAAGCCCGAGGCUUAACCCCGGAAGUGCGCUGGAAACUAGCCAGCUAGAGCGCGAGAGAGGAGGGUGGAAUUCCUGGUGUAGCGGUGAAAUGCGUAGAUAUCAGGAGGAACACCGGCGGCGAAGGCGGCCCUCUGGCUCGUUGCUGACGCUGAAACGCGAAAGCGUGGGGAGCAAACAGG
rnacentral:rRNA from 1 species